CACAAAGGAUGGCAGCCAGGUCUCUCGCCUUUUCCUUAACCUGAUUUGCGAGCCCACAGUCAAGGCUUGUGGAAAUAGCUGCUGGGUUCUCACAGCCUGGAGUUUACCUUGAGUCAUAAAAAUUUGAGAUUGUGACCUAAACUAAUGAUGUAGAACACUGCACAGUUCUACAGGGCUCAGUAGGAUUAAUGGAGUUCUAGGGAACACAUGUCUGACAAGUUCCUGCCUUGCUCACCUUGAUAUUAAAUCAUCCCACAUGAUAUUAGAAGAGCAGCGACAAGUGAGACACUCACCAGAAGAAAGGGGAGUCGAUUUUCCUGCUUUUACUAAGCUCUGGGUGACUUCAUUUCUUUUAUAUCCACUUAAUUAUCUCAACACUUUUUUAUCCAGUUAAAUGCUCUCUUUUCAGAAUAUCCAGAAUCAUUCGUUUUGUUGACUAAUGCUUACUACCCAACUGAUGCAAUAUGUAAUACCAUAAAAUAACCCAAAGAUUACAAAAGGAGAAUUUUUUUCCUGAAAUGUGUUGGAAAAAAUAAA